CUCGCUGGUAUUCUUUGUCAUCCUAUAAUUUUAUUUUGCACAUUUAAAAAAUUGUUCUGAGAGGAGGUCCACAGAUUUCACCAGACUACCCACAAGGUCUGGGACACAGAAAAGGUUAAGAACUUCAGUUCAGCAUCCUUCUUUUACAUGUGAGCAAAUCAAAUACCAGAGAGAAAGAUGGAGCGACCCAAGGUACCAUGGUUAGGCUAGGAGCCCACUUAGGUCUCCUGCAGUUUCCCGGGCACCCCGCUGCUUGCUUCUCAGGCUCACUCCUUUGACAUAUUUUUACUGCCACCCGCGUCGCCCCUCCUCCCCAUCUCCCCAAGGUCCAGCGCCCCAGCAGCGUUGAGUUUUUGCAAUCCCUUGGGCUGGGGGAGGGCAGGCGGUGAGGGAGUGGAGGGGGGAAAGGCUCUGUGAGUGACCCAGAACGGAAAGACUCCAGUCUGGGUCCUAAUGCGGGUGGCGUCUCUUUUGACAGGCUACGUUUGGGGACAACAGGGAAGACAAGAGAUAAGGUUUCCACAACCAGCGAACAGAGAGAAACCAGAGUGGGACCUAGAAGACACAAAGUAAGAAAAGAGGUGCGAACAAGCCAGAAUGCCCUGAACAGUUUGAGGUCCCUUCUGGGCUGUUCCUGUGCCCCAGGGACUAGCGGGAGGUCUAGCCCCACGGGCUCAGCUGAAGAGAACCAAGCAGUAAGGAUUCCAGGCUCCUAGCACGCUGCAGGCACAGCGGAGACGAAUCCCAAGACUCCCGCCUAAUUAUCUGCCCGGGGAAGCAGCCAGCUAAACCUGCCGGGCUGCUGGAAAAUUCAUUCAUGUCUUGGGGGGGGGGGGUAAACUGGUCAGCCAGGACGUCGCAGAGGACUCUCGCUUCCCAAGUCCCCUCCCUCGAUAUACCCCAGCUAAGUGGAUGUGUUGUAGAAAAGAAUAACAACAUUAAUAAAUACAUGCUAGC
rnacentral:lncRNA from 1 species